GCGCCGAGUGGCGAAGUCAGAAGACUUGCUAAGAUGCUGCUGGAUUUGUCCGAGGAGCACAAGGAGCACCUGGCCUUCCUGCCGCAAGUGGACAGCGCGGUGGUCGCCGAGUUUGGGAGGAUCGCCGUGGAGUUCCUCAGACGGGGAUCAAACCCGAAGAUCUAUGAAGGCGCCGCCAGUAAGAAAGGGAGAGGACAGGCUCUGUCUGUUGAGCUGGAAAGUGCUAUCUAUUCUCUUUCUCCGCAGGAGCCUUUGCAAGUCCUAGGCUCUUACUCCUCUUGCAGUCUUUUAAAAGCACGCAGAGCAGUCAGUCAUGGCGCAAACUUUGCAAGUAGCUGCGUGAUUUUAAAGCUAGUAUGAAACAAAUAUCUUAAUAUUUAAAAUAGAUACAAUGCCAUCUGCCUUUCAGAAAUACCAUGGUGCUUAAUAAAAUACUGCAUACUGAAGAAGUGGAAGUGUCAUUCAAGCGUUUAGUUAACAUUUGCUGCCCAGAAACUGCCUUUGCUAAAGCUGGGGGCGAGAUUAAGAACAUCCCUGUUGAAUUCUUCUGCCCGGCUUGAGGGAGCUUUGUGUGUCUGUUCACAGGUUUGUGUUUUGUUAUGAUUGCUAGGAAGGAAAUAUUAAAGGCCUCUGUUAGUGGAGUGGGUUGAAAAGGAACAGUAGUCUCCACUUAACUCAUUUUCAUUGUACUGUUUGAAAAGAGGGUAAUUGAACAUGUUUAUUUGUAAACAGAUGGAUGAUCUGUUCAUUUCUUCCCUCUUCCCCUCCUUAGGAAAACUCAAUGUGAGUAGCGACACUAUCCAGCAUGGUGUGGAAGGAU
rnacentral:lncRNA from 1 species